rnacentral:lncRNA from 1 species
GCUGAAGAAGAAUGUUCCAGUAGUGUUUGUUACUUUUGGUGUCUGGAAAGAGAGCAUGCGACUACUAAACCUUCAACAACAAAAAAGUUCUGUGUCAAGAAAUCACUGUGAAAAGGAGUUUGUAUGAGAGGUCGCUGACGAGGGCUGUGAACGGCGUACACGGACAUGCUGGGGUGCUCGAUCAGUAGGUUCUCCAGAGGACUUGUCUCCAGCAGGACCGGAGCUCUGCCUCCAGCCAUGAAACACGGUGGAGGAGUGAUGAACCAGCUCUCCUCCAGCCCACACGUGGCCUCCAGAUGCAAGAAGUUGCCGUCCUCUGCAUCAGUGUCUGCCACCGAAUCCAGAGAGGAGCAGGAGGAGCAGCGCACGGGAGGGUCAAGCGGAGCAACGUCAUCAUGGCAAACCUCCAGAUCAUCUCCACAUGCACCAGAGCAGGCCUUUGCUACAGGAACAGACGACAGAGAGGAUGUUAUAGAAAGUUGUGGCAUAUAUUCACUGAACAUCACACUACAGCCCAGCAAAACAACACCUGACAGACUGCACUAUGGACAAAAGCAAUAAAGGCAUUUUCAAAAC